rnacentral:rRNA from 1 species
AUUGAACGCUGGCGGCAGGCCUAACACAUGCAAGUCGAGCGAGCGGCGGACGGGUGAGUAAUGUCUGGGCAACUGCAUGAGGGAGGGGGAUAACUCCUGGAUACGGUAGCUAAUACCGCAUAUCAUCAGAAGUGCUCACGUGGGAAUAGCUAGUAUGUGGGGUAAUGGCUCACCUGGGCGACGAUCCCUAGCUGGUCUGUGAGGAUGACCAGCCACACUGGAACUGAGACACUGUCCAGACUCCUACGGGAGGCAGCGGUGGGGAAUAUUGCACAAUGGGCGCAAGCCUGAUGCAGCCAUGCCGCGUGUGUGAAGAAGGCCUUCGGGUUGUAAAGCACUUUCAGCGGGGAGGCGUUACCCGCAGAAGAAGCACCGGCGAACACCGUGCCAGCCGCCGCGGUAAUUC